rnacentral:rRNA from 1 species
UACGGAGGGGCCUAGCGUUGUUCGGAAUUACUGGGCGUAAAGCGUCCGUAGGCGGACUGUAAAGUCAGGGGUGAAAUCCCAGGGCUCAACCUUGGAAUUGCCUUUGAAACUCGCGGUCUUGAGGUCUAGAGAUGUGAUUGGAACAUGUGGUGUAGAGGUGAAAUGCGUAGAUAUCCCAAGGAACACCGAUGGCGAAGGCGGCUCACAGGCUCUACACUGACGCUGAGGUGCGAAAGCGUGGGGAGCAAACAGG